UACGGAGGGUGCAAGCGUUGUCCGGAUUUAUUGGGUUUAAAGGGUGCGUAGGCGGUCUUUUAAGUCAGUGGUGAAAUCCUCCAGCUUAACUGGAGAACUGCCAUUGAUACUGGGAGACUUGAGUACAGACGAGGUAGGCGGAAUUGACAGUGUAGCGGUGAAAUGCAUAGAUAUUGUCAAGAACACCGAUUGCGAGGGCAGCUUACUAGACUGUAACUGACGCUGAGGCACGAAAGUGUGGGGAUCAAACAGG
rnacentral:rRNA from 1 species